UAGCUGCAUAUUUGACGUUAGCGACAGAAGAAGCACCGGCUAACUCCGUGCCAGCAGCCGCGGUAAUACGGAGGGUGCGAGCGUUAAUCGGAAUUACUGGGCGUAAAGCGCAUGCAGGUGGUUUGUUAAGUCAGAUGUGAAAGACCCGGGGCGUCAACCUCGGAAUAGCAUUUGAAACUGGCAGACUAGAGUACUGUAGAGGGGGGUAGGAAUUUCAGGUGUAGCGGUGAAAUGCGUAGAGAUCUGAAGGAAUACCGGUGGCGAAGGCGGCCCCCUGGACAGAUACUGACACUCAGAUGCGAAAGCGUGGGGAGCAAACAGGAUUAGAUACCCUGGUAG
rnacentral:rRNA from 1 species